rnacentral:rRNA from 1 species
GACGAACGCUGGCGGCGUGCCUAAUACAUGCAAGUAGAACGCUGAAGGAGGAGCUUGCUUCUCUGGAUGAGUUGCGAACGGGUGAGUAACGCGUAGGUAACCUGCCUGGUAGCGGGGGAUAACUAUUGGAAACGAUAGCUAAUACCGCAUAAGAGUAGAUGUUGCAUGACAUUUGCUUAAAAGGUGCAAUUGCAUCACUACCAGAUGGACCUGCGUUGUAUUAGCUAGUUGGUGAGGUAACGGCUCACCAAGGCGACGAUACAUAGCCGACCUGAGAGGGUGAUCGGCCACACUGGGACUGAGACACGGCCCAGACGCCUACGGGAGGCAGCAGUAGGGAAUCUUCGGCAAUGGACGGAAGGCUGACCGAGCAACGCCGCGUGAGUGAAGAAGGUUUUCGGAUCGUAAAGCUCUGUUGUAAGAGAAGAACGAGUGUGAGAGUGGAAAGUUCACACUGUGACGGUAUCUUACCAGAAAGGGACGGCUAACUACGUG